rnacentral:misc_RNA from 1 species
UUUCCGUAGGUGAACCUGCGGAAGGAUCAUUAUUGUAUAACCGAGGUGCGAGGGCUGUCGCUGACCCGAAAGGUCGUGCACGCCCGAGUGCCCUCACACACAUCCAUCUCACCCCUAUGUGCACCACCGCUUGGGUCCCCCUUUGGCUUGUUCGGAGGGGGGCUUACGUUUUCACACAAACUUUGUAUGCAGUGUAGAAUGUAUUUUUUGUUUUUGCGAUCACGCAAUCAAUACAACUUUCAACAACGGAUCUCUUGGCUCUC